rnacentral:rRNA from 1 species
AUGGCGACCGGCGCACGGGUGAGUAACACGUAUCCAACCUGCCGAUGACUCGGGGAUAGCCUUUCGAAAGAAAGAUUAAUACCCGAUGGUAUAGUUCUUCCGCAUGGUAGAACUAUUAAAGAAUUUCGGUCAUCGAUGGGGAUGCGUUCCAUUAGCUUGUUGGCGGGGUAACGGCCCACCAAGGCAUCGAUGGAUAGGGGUUCUGAGAGGAAGGUCCCCCACAUUGGAACUGAGACACGGUCCAAACUCCUACGGAAGGCAGCAG